AUUGAACGCUGGCGGCAGGCCUAACACAUGCAAGUCGAGCGGUUGAAGGGAGCUUGCUCCUGGAUUCAGCGGCGGACGGGUGAGUAAUGCCUAGGAAUCUGCCUGGUAGUGGGGGAUAACGUCCGGAAACGGGCGCUAAUACCGCAUACGUCCUGAGGGGGAAAGUGGGGGAUCUUCGGACCUCACGCUCUCAGCUGCGCCUAGGUCGGAUUAGCUAGUUGGUGGGGUAAAGGCCUACCAAGGCGACGAUCCGUAACUGGUCUGAGAGGAUGAUCAGUCACACUGGAACUGAGACACGGUCCAGACUCCUACGGGAGGCAGCAGUGGGGAAUAUUGGACAAUGGGCGAAAGCCUGAUCCAGCCAUGCCGCGUGUGUGAAGAAGGUCUUCGGAUUGUAAAGCACUUUAAGUUGGGAGGAAGGGCAGUAAGUUAAUACCUUGCUGUUUUGACGUUACCAACAGAAUAAGCACCGGCUAACUUCGUG
rnacentral:rRNA from 1 species